AGAGUUUGAUCAUGGCUCAGAACGAACGCUGGCGGCAUGCCUUACACAUGCAAGUCGAACGGUAACGCGGGGCAACCUGGCGACGAGUGGCGAACGGGUGAGUAAUGCAUCGGAACGUGCCCAGUAGUGGGGGAUAGCCCGGCGAAAGCCGGAUUAAUACCGCAUACGACCUACGGGUGAAAGCGGGGGACCGUAAGGCCUCGCGCUAUUGGAGCGGCCGAUGUCAGAUUAGGUAGUUGGUGAGGUAAAGGCUCACCAAGCCGACGAUCUGUAGCUGGUCUGAGAGGACGACCAGCCACACUGGGACUGAGACACGGCCCAGACUCCUACGGGAGGCAGCAGUGGGGAAUUUUGGACAAUGGGCGCAAGCCUGAUCCAGCCAUGCCGCGUGCGGGAAGAAGGCCUUCGGGUUGUAAACCGCUUUUGUCAGGGAAGAAACGCUCUGGGCUAAUACCCCAGGGUGAUGACGGUACCUGAAGAAUAAGCACCGGCUAACUACGUGCCAGCCGCCGCGGUAAUUC
rnacentral:rRNA from 1 species